CGAAGAUUCAGACAUGGAUUCCG
rnacentral:piRNA from 1 species